rnacentral:lncRNA from 1 species
GGCAGGCCUCCUCCCGUCUUCCCCACCUCCGGCCCCGCCUGCUGACCCUGGGUCCUGGUCAAGCCCCCUGCCCCGAUUCUGGAAGGGAAGGAGUACUCUGAGAUCCCACAAUACCAGAGGGAGGAAGGGGAGAGGGAGCCCUAGGGUGCUCCCAGGAAAGCAGGCCCUGGGGCCCCACCGUCAGGCAGAGUCUCUGGAGGACUGCCUUCCCCUCGGCCCCUAGAGAAUGCCUCCGGGCUGUUCCGGCUCACAGGUGCCCAGCUCAGGCCGGCUGAGGGCAGAAGAGGGUGAGCAGGGGUGGGCAAGUGUGCAUCGAAGGAGUGGACGAUGGAGGAACCCUGGCUGGGAGUGCUCCAAGGACAGGACGCUGGGACACGUGGGUGGUGCGAGGGGUGCGCAGCAGGUCAGACCGAUGGCAGGACAGGCCCCACGGGGCAGCUCACGGAGGACACGCACUACCCGGAUGGGCGGAGAGGCCUUUCCGGCACCCUAGCAGGCCUGGACAUGCCCCAGAUGGGUCAAGGCUGAAUCAGCCAGGCUGGCAGGGUCCCCGGGAGCCCAGGCCUGGCCACCGCCCAUCCAGGAAAGGAAAGGUGGGUGGCUGCUGUGCUGCAGGAUUGGGGCCUCCUGGCAUCUUGGGAACCCUGUCUUUGAGCCCCGCCCGAGGCCCCGCCCCUCCCCAGGAGGAAAAAGUCAGCUACUGGAGGCUCAGCUCACAGGAGCAAGGACCUGGGCAAGAGGACAGCUCGCCGCCACCGCAGCUCCAGGUGGGUCCUGGGCUGAGGGACUUCCCCACCCGUGGUCAGACCAGCCUAGCUGUGUCUCCCAGCCCCCUCUCCACUUCCACCACCUCACAGAGCCCCAGCCACUCAGGG